GUUGUUGAGGGAGUUGGGGGAACCGGCCGGUUGCGGGAGAGUCAGUCUCCGUCGCAGUGAAACGCUGCGAAUAGGAAGAGAGAGAGAGAGAGAUAAAAUAAAAAAAAACAACUACUAGGUCAUUAUUCGCCGUGUAACUUACGAAGAAGAUGAACUUAGCCUGGAUGGUGAAGCGAGUAACUUUUAUCAGUGGCGUGAAGAGGAAGGAGAUGCCGAGAGGCACCGGCUCGGCGGCCGGGACCACGGACAUCAUCAACGUGUAGUUUGCUCUAAAGCCUGGCUCGGAAGCUCUAAGGCUUUUUGCUGUCUGCGCCAAGUCCCUGAAGUGAAAAACCAUCAGUUCCCAGCCAACUCCCCACAAGUGCCGAGAAAAUAGGUCAAUCCCUGACGAAGAUUUAAAAAAAAUAUUAUAUAUCCAUAUCAAGUUCAACACUCGAAAGUCUUAACUUUUUUUUGGGGUGGGGGUGGGGGGUGAAGAGAGGAAAAGGAGCAACAGAAUAAUGUCUGGUGAGAAUUUUGGACUAGUCUUUUAUUUAGUGUUCAACUUUUCUUAGGUAUCGAAGCUUGAUUUUUUUUUUCUCCCCUUAAUUUGAUAUUUGGAUGUAUUUUAAAACGUAAGCCGCCAGGAAAGUUCUGGAAGUGCAAGGGAAUAUUUAUUAAGUGUGAGUAAAAUCAUUUAAAAGCUAUUAUUCGGACUUUUUAAAGGAAAGUAGUAUCACUACUCCGACAAAUCUGACGAAACAAAUAAAUCUGUUUCCAUAUGGUACAUGAUUAAAUGAGGAGGAGGAGGGGGGGGGGGGAUACAUUUUAGUUAUUUUCUGAAGCCAUUUGUGUUUGUACUUGUGCUGCCAGUAUGAAGAGUUUUAUUACGAUUUUCAAAACGGAAAAAAAAUGCGAGUUUAGUUGUUUGCCUAUAUUUUUAUUCGUGCUUGCGCAACGCUGCAGCUGAUUCCUGCCCUUACUUUGCAACUGCAGGGAGCAGUCUAGCUCCAAUGUCAUUGAUCAGCUUGUAAAAGAUGGUCUCCUUUCGCUUACUCUUUAAAAAAAAACAGAAACAAAAAAACAUUUCCAGUAAUUUAACCAAUUGGGUAAUGCAAAAACGCCCAAGUGUCCGGCUAUUUUGUGUGUGAGUGUUGAAGGGAACUCUGUAUUUUCUUCCCUACAGCUGAGAGUAAGCUGGUAAGCAAUAUCAUGCGGGCAUAAAGAAGUGAAAUGACUAAUGCGGUUUACUGUAAAUCUUAAACCUUAUCUGGAAUCAUUUAGGUCCGCAUUUCCCAUCAGAGUUGGAAGGUUGCAUUCCACGAAUUGCUCUGGCUAUCCUACAGCCGUUCUUCACUGGCUAGUUUUACGUCACUGAGCCAGCUAAAGCUGCCAGUUGAAGAACUGUUGAGGUUAGCUAUUUACAGCAGGACACUGAAGAGGAUGUGAACGUGUUGAAUUGUGGGCUAAUUGACACACGACUGGUUCUGGUGUUGUUUAAGUCAACACUAAUUACUCUUGGUCUGGAAUGAACCUGAUGUGGAAAACGUAAUGUGUCGGAAGGAACUGUAGAUGCUGGUUUAAAUCAAAGAUAGACACAAAAAGCUGGAGUAACUAUGCAGGUCAGGCAGCAUCUCUGGAGAAAAGGAAUAGGUGACGUUUCAGGUCGGUCUGAAGAAGGAUCUCGACCUGAAACGUCACUUAUUUUCUCCAGAGAUGCUGUCUGACCACCUGAGUUUUUCCAACUUUUUGUGUCUGGUGAAAAAUUCAUUCCGAUUCCCAUCUUUUUUUUUUACAAACGGUAUGUUUGUUCCUUCAUUAUUUUGGGUGGGGCUUUUUCUGCAGUAGUCAUCUUGCCACGAGAGCUGAUUCAUUAUGGCCAUAUUAUGCGUUGUAUUUUAACCUUCCAUUGGCCAACUUUAUUGUUAAAGUUUUACAGCUUUUUUUUAAUUCAAAAUUUUUGUGCCUGAAUUUUGCAGUUUCUUUCUAACAUUAUGGUUUUGAACAAUUAUUUAAUUUUGUCAAAUUCCUCUGUAUGACGUACUGUGCUUCACAACUGCAUUCAUUAUGUUAAUCAUGUAUGUUAAUCAUGUUCAUCAUGUAUUCCUCUGCAUUAAAUCUGUUUUUUUGGGCUUUCAUAAUUGCAGGUAAAACCGUGCAGUUAUUCAUAGUCUUAUCCAUAUUGUUGUGACUUUUUAAACUUGAGGAAUAACCACUUUUGCAAUUAAUAUGAACAUUAAAAAAAAAAAGUUCAGGAAUAUGGUAAGAGGAAAAAAUUAGCAAACCCAAUAUUUUAUUUCUGGAUGUAGACAUAAAAUGCUGGAGUAACUCAGCGGGAUAGGCAGCAUUGGGAGAGCAGGAUGGGCAAAGUUCCGGGUUGAGACACUUCUUCAGACAUUCCAUCUCUCCAGAGAUGGUACCUGUCCCACUGGGGCACGUUCCCUGGGAAAUGUCUUCUCAUUUUGCACUGUACAACUGUUGCUUUGCAAGAUGACAAUAAAGGUUGAUUGAUUGAAUUACUCCAGACUUUUGCGUCUGUCUUCAGUGUAAAGCAGCAUCUGCAGUUCCUUCCUACACAUUCUUUUUCUGGAGUCAUCUUUCUCAUCACAAACUGUAUUUAUAUAAUGCCCUAUUAGUUUAGUAACACAUCCCCUCCAUACUUUACGGAAGGAUAAAUAAACACAAAACGAAAAUGCUAGAAAUAGAUUCAAAAUAAGGUAGGAGAUUUUAGAAAUUCCUAUUUGUAGAGGUGCUGCCUGACCAGCUGAGUUACUCCAGCACCUUUUCUGUGAUACAAGUGUUUUACAUGUUGUGCACUGUGUACUGCUAGAAUAUACAAUUCAAAAUUCAAAUGAAUCAAAAGAUUACAUUGAGCACUGUCAUUUGUAAACAAUUAUCCCCAAUGGACAUCAUUUUCUUAGCGCAUCCGUAAAGUAUUUUAAAAUGUGUCUGCUUGCUUUGCUGGGUAACAAUGUUUUUGAAGUCCAUCACGGGGGAAAAAAAGGGCAGAGAUGAAAUUCAAGGACGUUGCCAGUGCUGAUGACACAAGGAUGUGGAUUAGUGAGUUUUGAAGGCACCAGCUUGGAAAGAGGAUAAAUUAAGCCUGUGAGCAAGGAUCAGGCAGAUGAAACACAAUGUGACUUGUCUCCUUUGGAAGGAGCAAUGGGGAAAUCAGAUAAUUAUUUAAGUGGAGUGAAGCAACAAACAUUGCAAAAGUUAGGGAUCCUAAGCAUAUGAAAUAAGGGAGCAGGAGGAAAGAAGUUUGUGCAACUCCAUAUGGCAUACUGAUCAUUUGGAGGCAGUGUGAAGAAGAUGGGGUUGAUUUGUGGGAUGAAGAAUGAGAGGAUUUUAUGAAAAUGUAAAAUCUUGAGAGGAACACAAGAAACUGGAAUAUUUAGCAGCAAACACUGCAAGUGGAACUCAGUGGGUCAGGCAGCAGCAGUGGAGAGAAAAAAGGUCAGAGUUUGAAUCCUUGGUCUUAAAGGUGCUGAGAGGGUUUGGAGAUGGUAGUUGUUGAGAGAAUGUUUCCUCUAAUAGUGGUACGUAGAACCAGGGGAUGCUUUCAGUGGGUUAUCUAUUUCUUAAUGGGGAGGAGUAAUUUCUCCCCUGAGGAUUAACUCUUUGGAAUUCUCUACCCCAGAGAGCUGUGGAGAUGUAAUUGAAUGUAUUUGCAGAAGAGAUCGACAUAAACAGUGCAGUAGGGUGAUUGGACCACUUCUGUUUCUUGUGCAUUACAGUAGUAGCAGGAGUCUGCUUAUGCUGAUGGGUUAUUUUUAAUCAAGACAACUGAGGGAACUUAAAUGUGUUCAAAAAUUGGUGUGUCUAGAGUAACAGCAGAAAGGUAAAUAUCAAGAGAAAGGUACAUGUUACACAAAAUAAAGAUGUAAUUCUGAAAUGAAA